AAUUUAAAUUCUAUAAACCAAUAAGGAAAAGACAGACAACCCAAUUAUAAAAUGGGCAAAACACUUGAACAAGCAUUUCACAGAAGAGGAUGUCCAAAUAUCUAGUAAGUAUGUGAAAAAGGUACUUAAGACAUCAUUAGUCACCAGGCAAAUGCAAAUGCAAAUCACAAUGAGAUACCAACCCACACUCUCCACAAUGGCUAAAAUUAAAAAGACUGAUGAUAUCAAGUGUUGAUGAGGAUAUAGAGCAAUUAGAACUUCUACACAUUGCUGGUGGGACUGUAAAAUGGUGCAACCACUUUGGAAAACUGGCACAUCUAUGAAAGCUAGAUCGAAGCUUUCUCUGUGGUUUAGCACUUCCACUCCUAGGUAUAUACCCCCAAAAAUGAAUGCAUAUGACCAUUAAAAUAUGUGGACAAAAUGUUCAUGACAGUUUUAUUUUUAAUAACCAAACUUUGGAAAUAAGCCAAAUAAGUCUCAGUGGGGAACUAAUAAAUUAUAGUGUAUUCAUGUGGUAGAAUUUUACACAGUAAAAACAGACAAAAAAACCAUCUACUACUACAUGUAACAACAUGGAUAAACCCCACAGACAUUAUGAGUGAACAAAGACAGACUUAAAAAGUAUAUAUGGGCUGGGAACGGUGGCUUGCAUCUGUAAUCCUGUACUUUGGGAGGCCAAGGUGGGAGGUUUGCUUAAGCCCAGGAGUUCAAGACCAGCCUGGACAACAUUGUGAGACCCCAUCUAUACCAAAAGUAAAAUAAAAAAAUUUAGCCAGGCAUGUUGGCAUGUACCUAUGGUCUCAGCUACCCAAACCAGGGAGGUUGAAGCUGCAGUGAGCUGUGAUCAUGCCACUGCAUUCCAGCCUGGACAAUAGAGUGAGACCCUUUUUCAAAAAAAAGUACAUAUGAUUUCAUUUUUAUGAAAUUCAAAAUAGGUAAAACUAAUCAAAAGUGAUAUAAGUCAGAAUAGGGUUUAUCUCUGGGUCAUAGGGAUAUUGGCUGGGAAGGGACGAAUGAGAACUUUUUGGAGUGCUGGAAUGUCCUGUUUUUCUUUUUGUCUUUUUGUUUGUUUGUUUUGUUUUAAGAUAUGAUCUUGCUCUGUCACCCAGGCUGAAGGGAAGUGGCGUGAACAUGGCUCAGUGCAACCUCCACCUCCCGGACUCAAGUGAUCUUCCCAUCUCAGCCUCCUAAGUAGCUGGGACCAUAGGUGUGUGCCACCAUGCCCGGCUAAUUUUUAAAUUUUUUGUAGAGAUGGUGUCCCACUAUGUGGAGUCUUCUUCAUAUUGAUCAAAGUGGCAGUUAAACAAGAAUAUAAUUACAUAAAAGUGUACCAAAAUGUAUAUUUAAGAUUGGUGCACAUUGCUGUAUAUAUUAUACUUUGAUAAAGAGUAUUACAGAAAAUUUUAAUUUUCUUCUUUUUGCUGUUUUCUAAAUGGUCACACCUUUUUCUCGGCUAUAUUUCCAAAAGUCUAAACUGAAACAUAAAUUAUAAUGAGAAGAAAAACAAUAAAGGUUAUUAUUUUUAAAACACUAGAGCUGAAUCUCAGCUACCUAUCUAGAUCUCUUGGCCUGAGCCCUGGACCCAGCUAAAAAUAGUUCAGAGCCUUGCCAGCUGGGAGCUGGGCUAUGUUUAGCAGAAACUGGCACACGAGUGAAAUGGGGUGGAGCCAAGUAGACACUUUGGAUCCGGUAGGCAUAGCUCUCCCACAGGAGACUGUUUAGGCCAUGCCUGGCAUCAGUAACUCAGGCUGUUUCCCACACUACAGGCCAGCACUGUGGGCUCUCAGUUUAUUGGGAAAUGGAAAUAAGAGGGAAGGACAAAAGUCCACUGGGAAGCAGACUGGACAGAAAGGAACUCUGAGCAGCUAAACUCUGACUAAUCCCAGGGUAUACCUGCGUUUUCUCUUCACCAGAUUUUUCCUACCAGGAAGAGCAUGUGCUGACCAACAGACAUGAAUUUCAGCCUGGUAGUUACAACAUUCACAGGAGUUUCACUCGUUGCCCAGGCUGGAGUGCAACGGCGCGAUCUCAGCUCACUGCAACCUCCGCCUCCCCAGUUCAAGCGAUUCUCCUGCCUCAGCCUCCUGAGUCACUGGAAUUACGGGCGCCUGACACCACGCCCAGCUAAUUUUUUGUAUUUUUAGUAGACAUGGGGUUUCACUAUGUUGGCCAGGCUGGUCUCGAACUCCUGACCUCAUGAUCCUCCUGCCUCAGCCUCCCAAAGCACUGGGAUUACAGGUGUGAGCCACUGUGCCUGGUCCAUUAAAAACAUUUGUAAAGCUAUGGUGUUGAUAAAGUAUUAUGAAAGACUGCAAAAAAAGAUGGCUAAUUUUUAGUUAUUAUUGCACAUGUUUAGAGGAGCUAAUGACAUUUUCUAUGAUUAAUAAAAGACAUUAUUUAUGUUUUUAUUUAUGUAUUCCACAACAUUUAUUUUAUUUUCUCCAUUUCAGGAAAACCACUAUGUUGUUACAAUAAAGAUUUUCAUGUAAUUUGUGUUCAAUUGAUAGUAAUAAUGUAACAAGUUAAAAAUGAAGGUAAUUGUGUUUAAAAUUUGAGCAUAUUUUCAUCAAAAUGUAAGUUAAAGUGAUUGUAAAUUUUAAGAUCAUAAUUACUUUGUAUAUCUUCAAGAAAAUUAUUGUUUUAAAAUAUUUAUGCCUAUUAAAAUUAGAAGGCAAAAUAAAAAUAUAUGAAUACCAACAUUUUAAAUAAAAAUCAUUUAAAUAA
rnacentral:lncRNA from 1 species